ensembl:lncRNA
GAAGGCGUAGGAUCGGAGGCGGCUGGAGUUGCUGCUGCUCUGCCGCUUGUCCCUAUCCGGCCGCGGCCCUCCGACAGCCGCUGCGCGAGGGAAAGCCUGACCCAGGGCGGGGGUGGGUGAAUGGGGGCCAGGGAAGCAGAGACGUGGCCAAGGACCCAUGGCGGUUCCCGGCCUCCUUCCUUCCCCGCUUCACAAGAGCGGCCCUGCUCUCACUGUGACUGCAGCUGCCCUGUGAGUCGCUCAUCGCGUGCCGACACCGUGGGCGCAGGCCCCAGGGAGGGCAUGCCAGAGACCCCCACCCCGCCCCAGGAGGGGCCGGUUCCGCCAGCCUCCACCACACUCCCUCCCCCUUCCCUGCUCUGUGGGAAGGAGGCAGCUGGGGCGGGGGUGGCCGCGGGAGCGUCUUGCCCGUGUGAUCGUGCCGAGCGGGGAAUUCGGGGCCAUGUGGGAAAGACAUUAGUGCCGGCCGCCCUGCCAGCCAGGAAUGCGCCCCCCGCUCUGCAGCCGCCGCCUGCCUGGCCCAGAAACGGUGACUCACCCGCUCCGUGUUCCCACCCCCUCAUCAUGCACCCUCCCCUGCCCACCACAGGCCUGGCCCCAGGCUUUCCAGCCUCCCUGUUCUGCUCCUGCGGGUCCUGCUACCUGCCUUGCCCAUCCUCCAUUCUCUGUUUCUUAGAACACUGAACCAGCUCGCACCUCGGCGCAGUCCAACAGUCACAGCCCCCUCCCCCAAGGAGGCCCGUCUAUCCUUGACAAGUGGUUAGAACACUCCUUUGGGACUUAGUUCCCCGGGGCUGUCUUCUUCUCUCCAGAAUGAUCGCCCCCGUCCCGCUACAGGACCAGGCCAGGAGCACAGGGCAGGUGCAGAAAAAAAGGAGUCAAUGAAACCUCUUCAGCGUGAGAAGCAGAGCACCGUGUGGGAAUGCUGUUCCUAGGGCUCUUCCUCUAGGAAACUGAAAUACAGCAAGGCCACCUACCUCAACGGCUGUGUGACCCUGGACCCUUAUUCCCCUGGCCUGAGUCUUGCUUUCUGCAGAAUGGGACGACAGUAUCUACUCCAUGUGCUAAUGGGGAGAGGUAUCUCUAAAGCCCUCAGCUCAGGGCCGGCUGCUGGAAGGGACUCAGUCAUGAUGAUGGUGUUGAUGAUAUCCCUGGUAAUCAAGGCUAUUUAAUGAACACCUACUAUGUACCAGGCCCUAGGUUGGGUACUUUCUUGUUUUUUGUUGAGAUUGAGUCUCACUCUGUUACCCAGGCUAGAGUGCAAUGAUGCGAUCUCAGCUCACUGCAACCUCUGCCUCCCAGGUUCAAGCGAUUCUCCUGUCUCAGCCUCCUGAGUAGCUGGGAUUACAGGCACGUGCUACCAUGCCUGGCUAAUUUUUGUAGAGAUGGGUUUCACCAUGUUGGCCAGGCUGGUCUUGAACUCCUGACCUCAGAUGAUCUACUAGGCUGGGUACUUUCUACAUAUCAUCUCAUCUAGUCUCUGCCUCAGUCCUAUGAGGUAGGUUCUGUUACUAUCCUUCCUGUACAGAUAAGGAAAUACUGAGGUUUGG